CCAGUGCUCAUCCCAUCAAGUGCCCCCCAUCAGUGCCUGUCACCCAGUCACCCCGUCCCCCUGCCCACCUCCCUUUCCACUACCCCUUGUUCGUUUCCCAGAGUUAGGAGUCUCUCAUGCUCCGUCACCCUCACUGAUAUUUCCUACUCGUUUUCUCUCCUUUCCCCUAUAAUCCCUUUCACUAUUUUUUAUAUUCCCCAAAUGAGUGAGACCAUAUAAUGUUUGUCCUUCUCCAAUUGACUUACUUCACUCAGCAUAAUACCCUCCAGUUCCAUCCACAUUGAAGCAAAUGGUGGGUACUUGUUGUUUCUAAUGACUGAGUAAUAUUCCACUGUAUAUAUAGACCACAUCUCCUUUAUCCACUCAUCUGUCGAUGGACACCGAGGCUCCUUCCACAGUUUGGCUAUUGUGGACAUCGCUGCUAUAAACAUUGGGGUGCAGGUGUCCUGCCGUUUCACUGCAUCUGUAUCUUUGGGGUAAAUACCCAGCAGUGCAAUUGCUGGGUUGUAGGGCAGGUCUAUUUUUAACUCUUUGAGGAACCUCCACACAGUUUUCCAGAAUGGCGGCACCAGUUCACAUUCCCACCAACAGUGCAAGAGGGUUCUCCUUUCUCCCCAUCCUCUCCAAAAUUUAUUGUUUCCUGUCUUGUUCAUUUUUCACCAUUCUCACUGGUGUGAGGUGGGAUCUCAUUGUGGUUCUGAUUUGUAUUUCCCUGAUGGCCAGUGAUGCGGAGCAUUUGCUCACGUGCUUGUUGGCCAUGUCUAUGUCUUCCUCUGUGAGAUUUCUGUUCAUGAAGAAGCCUGCUUCUCCCUCUGCCUAUGUCUCUGCCUCUCUCUGUGUGUGUCUCUCAUGAAUAGAUAAAUUAAAUCUUAAAAAAAAAAAGUUUGUAAAAAAGGAAGGAUCUCUAUCGUCUCCACAUGCUCACGGGAUUUUGUUUUCCUCUUGUGGAAAUCAUCCCACCCUGUUCUCCAUUGGCUCUGUGGCUUAUUUCUGUUGCUUUGUAAUUCUUCCUUUAUUUUAAAUACUAGUGUCUUGUUGAUUUGGGACAUUGCAAAUACCUUCUCCUAUUCUGUCAAUGCUUUUAACUGCAAGAUGCCUUUCAAAGAACAUGGGGGGUGGCUUAUAUUAUGUGCUUUUGAAAUUUGGUUUAAAAGUCUGCCCUAGGGCAGCCCGGGUGGCUCAGUGGUUUAGCGCCGCCUCCAGCUCAGGGUGUGAUCCUGGAGACCCAGGAUCGAGUCCCACGUCAGGCAGACACCCAACCGCCAAGCCACCCAGGCAUCCCAAAAUUUGGCAACUUUUAAAUUUUGAGCAUCAUGGGGCACCUGGCUGGCUCAGUCAGUGAGCAUGCAACUCUUGAUCUUGGGGUUCUGAGUUCAAGCCCCGUGUUGCAUGUAGAGAUCACUUAAAAAUAAAAUCUUAAAAAAAAAAAUUAUGGAUCAUGUUUUCGGUGUUGUAUCUAAGAAAUCUUUGCCUAAUGCAAAAACUACAGGAAUUAUUUUAUGGUUUCUUCUAGAAAUUUUAUAAUUUGGGGUUUUAUAUUUAUGUCUGAGAUCCAUUUUGAGUUUUAUGUAUGAUGUGAAAUAUGUGUUGGAGUUUUUUUUUUUUAAAUUUUAUUUAUUUACUUCAUGACAGACACACAGAGAAAGAGGCAGAGGCAGAGGGAGAAGCAGACUCCAUGUAGGGAGCCUGAUGUGGGACUUGAUCCUGGGACUCCGAGAUCACAACCUGAGCCAAAGGCAGACGCUCAACCGCUGAGCCACCCAAGCAUCCCUGGAGUUCAUCUUUCCUGUGUGAUGUCCAACUAUUCCAGCACCAUUAGUUGAAAAGACAAUAAUCUUUUCUUCACUGACUUGCUUUUGCAGCUUUUAUCAGAUCCUUGCAGGGGCAUCUAGGUGGCUCAGUCAGUGAGGAAUGUGCCUCCAGCUCAGGUCAUGAUUUCCAGGGUCCUAAGAUUGGGCCCCACAUCGGGUUCCCUGCUCAGCAGGGAGCCUGCUUCUCCCUCUCCUUCUGCAGCUCUGCCUACCUGUGCACGCUCUCUCUGUCAAUAAAGAAAAGCUUAAAAAAAAAAAAAAGAUUCUUGGGGACAUACACUGUGGAAUGUGGCAGUGACUCCCAGGUUCUAAUGUGCCCCCCUGGAGGCUUGUGGGGAGAUCUGGAAGGGAAAGCCCAAGGUCAGUGGUCUCCAUUCUUUUCCCCAAGGCCUCAGCCAACAGAAGUCUCACAGCCCCAAUAUAAUUCUCACAAAACUCGCACUACAGACAGGAUGGAUCAAUGACAGCCUCUCAACAACUCCAGGGAGUGGUAUGACCACACGCAAACUGCUUCCCUCUGGCAUCUUGUUUUUGUCACCUCCAGCCAUAUUCAGUCUUGCCCCCUCCACACACACACACCUCCACAGACACACACACAUGUACAUUCACACAUGCACCUGCAUACAUACACAUACUACAUGCAUACACAUGCCAUACACAACACACCUGUACCUCUAUACACCUCCAUGGAUGCACACGUACCUAUGAAUUCUAUUUUUUACAUAGUAAGUUAAUCACAUACUAAGAUUGCAGAGUGUCAAUCAGGCUCAGCAAUGGACCCCCUAACCCCACUUUUCUUGUAGGGACAACUUCCCUCAUAUUUCUCACAUGCCUGAUUCCUCUCACCAACUAGCACCUUCCUGUUCUUUCCACUGGCAUCCCAUUUGCUCCCUUCCCUUCCCCAGAGAGGGCUUAGCAAUCACUCUGCUACCUUGUCCCAGGAGCUCUCUGUGACAGGUCGUCAUUGCCACUGAGCGUCUGUUUCUCGGACCAUUUUUGUACCAGCAUCACAGCUCAGGAUCCUCAGGAAGCAGACUCUCUUCCACAGCUUGGCAUGUGGGAGGUUUAUUAGAAAGCAUCCUUGGGGUUUACACCUAGGGAAGAGAAGAAAGACACAGGAGGAUUGAGUGGAGGGAGAAAGUGGGCUACAGUGGGAAGUCAAUAGAGCCCUCAGUCGACCCCACAGGAAAGGUAGAAGCUGGAUAGUUCUGGAGGAUUGUCUUGAGUUGGGACAACGCUGGACCUUUAUGGAUGUGGGUUGUGUGGGGAAGGAGACAUGGGCUCGAGCAAGUGAAUGUCUUCCAAGGCAAUUCUGAAGAGGGCUGACAUCCCCGGGCUGUUUGCUACCAGCUUGUACAAGGGCCAGGGAGUAACUCUCUGACUCAGGAGAGAAUGGCUCUCAGCAAUGUAGCACAGCACCUCCCCAGCUAGGAAAAGUAAAAAACAGAACAAGAAGGAAUUCUUGGAAAUUUAAAAUUACUGCCAAAAGGAGCACCUGGCUGCCCCAGUCAGUGAAGCAUGAAACCCUUGACCUCAGGGUUGUGAGUUUGAGUCCCACACUGGGUGAUGAGAUUACUAAAACUAAAUAAAUAAACUUAAAAAAAUAAAAACUCUUAAAAAAAAAAUGACUGCCAAAACAAAAAUCUAACCAGGGUGGCUCAGUUGGUUAAGCAUCUGAUUCUUGAUCUCAGCUCAGAUCUGGAUCUUGGGGUCAAGAAUUAAGGCCCACAUUGGGCUCUAUGCUGGGCAUAAAACCUAUACCUUAAAAAAAAAAAAAAAAAAAAAAAAAAA
rnacentral:lncRNA from 1 species